AGGACGAACGCUGGCGGCGUGCUUAACACAUGCAAGUCGAGCGGUGAUCCUCCUUCGGGAGGUGAGCAGCGGCGAACGGGUGAGUAACACGUGGGCAACCUGCCCCUCACACUGGGAUAACCUCGGGAAACCGGGGCUAAUACCGGAUAUGACCUCGAGCGGCAUCUCUUGAGGUGGAAAGCUCCGACGGUGAGGGAUGGGCCCGCGGCCUAUCAGCUUGUUGGUGGGGUAAUGGCCUACCAAGGCGACGACGGGUAGCCGGCCUGAGAGGGCGACCGGCCACACUGGGACUGAGACACGGCCCAGACUCCUGCGGGAGGCAGCAGUGGGGAAUAUUGCGCAAUGGGCGAAAGCCUGACGCAGCGACGCCGCGUGAGGGAUGAAGGCCUUCGGGUUGUAAACCUCUUUCAGCAGGGACGAAGCGAAGUGACGGUACCUGCAGAAGAAGCACCGGCUAACUACGCGCCAGCAGCCGCGGUAA
rnacentral:rRNA from 1 species